rnacentral:rRNA from 1 species
AUUGAACGCUGGCGGCAUGAUUUACACAUGCAAGUCGAACGGUAACAGGCCGCAAGGUGCUGACGAGUGGCGAACGGGUGAGUAAUGCAUCGGAACGUGCCCAGUCGUGGGGGAUAACUACUCGAAAGAGUAGCUAAUACCGCAUACGAUCUAUGGAUGAAAGCGGGGGACCGUAAGGCCCCGCGCGAUUGGAGCGGCCGAUGUCAGAUUAGGUAGUUGGUGGGGUAAAGGCUCACCAAGCCAACGAUCUGUAGCUGGUCUGAGAGGACGACCAGCCACACUGGGACUGAGACACGGCCCAGACUCCUACGGGAGGCAGCAGUGGGGAAUUUUGGACAAUGGGCGCAAGCCUGAUCCAGCAAUGCCGCGUGCAGGAAGAAGGCCUUCGGGUUGUAAACUGCUUUUGUACGGAACGAAACGGCUCUGGUUAAUACCCGGGGCUAAUGACGGUACCGUAAGAAUAAGCACCGGCUAACUACGUG